rnacentral:rRNA from 1 species
AAUGAACGUUGGCGGCGUGGAUUAGGCAUGCAAGUCGUGCGGAAAGGCCCCGCAAGGGGUACUCGAGCGGCGUAAGGGAUAGUAAUGCGUGGAUAACCUACCUCCGGGCCUGGGAUAGCUGCGGGAAACUGCAAUUAAUACCAGAUAACGUCUCCGGACCAAAGGUGUGAUUCCGUCUGGAGAGGGGUCCACGUCCUAUUAGCUAGUUGGUGGGUAACGCCUACCAAGGCAACGAUGGGUAGCGGGUGUGAGAGCACGACCCGCAUCACUGGGACUGAGACACUGCCCAGACCACCGUACGGGAGGCAG